AAGUCGUAGCAAGGUUUCCGUAGGUGAACCUGCGGAAGGAUCAUUACAGUAUUCUUUUGCCAGCGCUUAAUUGCGCGGCGAAAAACCUUACACACUAUGUUUUUUUUUAAAUUUUGAAACUAUUGCUUUGGUUCGUGGCUUGAGAAAUAGGAUUGGGUGCCAAAAGGUUUUUAUUACCAGACUUCAAUAUUUAUAUUGAAUUGUUAUUUUAAUUUUUUGUCAAUUUGUUGAUUAAAUUCAAAAAUCUUCAAAA
rnacentral:misc_RNA from 1 species